UACAGAGGUCCCAAGCGUUGUUCGGAUUCACUGGGCGUAACGGGUGCGCAGGUGGUCGGGUAAGUCUGAUGUGAAAUCCCGCAGCUUAACUGCGGAAUGGCAUUGGAUACUAUUCGGCUAGAGGGUUGGAGGGGGGACUGGAAUUCUCGGUGUAGCAGUGAAAUGCGUAGAUAUCGAGAGGAACACCAGUGGCGAAGGCGAGUCCCUGGACAACUCCUGACGCUGAGGCACGAAAGCUAGGGGAGCAAACAGG
rnacentral:rRNA from 1 species